rnacentral:rRNA from 1 species
UACGUAGGGGGCUAGUGUUGUCCGGAAUCAUUGGGCGUAAAGCGCGCGUAGGCGGCCCGGUAAGUCCGUUGUGAAAGUCAAAGGCUCAACCUUUGAAUGCCGAUGGAUACUGCCGGGCUCGAGUCCGGAAGAGGCGAGUGGAAUUCCUGGUGUAGCGGUGGAAUGCGCAGAUAUCAGGAGGAACACCGAUAGCGAAGGCAGCUCGCUGGGACGGUACUGACGCUAAGGCGCGAAAGCGUGGGGAGCGAACAGG